AACCAUAGAAACCUGCGGAGUACCUGCGGAAGGAUCAUUACAGAGUUGCAAAACUCCCUAAACCAUUGUGAACGUUACCUAAACCGUUGCUUCGGCGGGCGGCCCGGGUCCUUCCCGGCGCCCAUCGGCCCUCGCGGGCGCCCGCCGGAGGUAAACCAAACUAUUGCAUUGUAUGGCCUCUCUGAGUCUUCUGUACUGAGUAAGUCAAAACUUUCAACAAUGGAUCUCAGAUCGGAAGAG
rnacentral:misc_RNA from 1 species